AUUGAACGCUGGCGGCAUGCCUUACACAUGCAAGUCGAACGGCAGCACGGGAGCAAUCCUGGUGGCGAGUGGCGGACGGGUGAGUAAUGUAUCGGAACGUGCCCAGUCGUGGGGGCUAACGUAGCGAAAGCUACGCUAAUACCGCAUACGAUCUAUGGGUGAAAGCGGGGGAUCGCCAGACCUCGCGCGAUUGGAGCGGCCGAUAGCAGAUUAGGUAGUUGGGGGGGUAAAGGCCCACCAAGCCGGCGAUCUGUAGCUGGUCUGAGAGGACGACCAGCCAGACUGGGACGGGGACACGGUCCAGACUCCUACGGGAGGCAGCAGUGGGGAAUUUUGGACAAUGGGCGCAAGCCUGAUCCAGCAAUGCCGCGUGCAGGAUGAAGGCCUUCGGGUUGUAAACUGCUUUUGUACGGAACGAAACGGCUUUUUCUAAUACAGAGAGCUAAUGACGGUACCGUAAGAAUAAGCACCGGCUAACUACGUGCCAGCCGCCGCCGUAA
rnacentral:rRNA from 1 species